ensembl:rRNA 5S_rRNA 5S ribosomal RNA
GCUUACGCCAUACCACUGAUAGGCACGCCCGAUCUCGUCUGAUCUCGGAAGCUAAGCAGGGUCGGGCCUGGUUAGUACUUUGAUGGGUGACCGCCUGGGAAUACCAGGUGCUGUAAGCA